rnacentral:rRNA from 1 species
UACGGAGGGGCUAGCGUUGUUCGGAAUUACUGGGCGUAAAGCGCACGUAGGCGGCUUUGCAAGUUAAGAGGUGAAAGCCCGGGGACUCAACCCCGGAAUUGCCUUUAAAACUGCAUCGCUUGAAUUGUGGAGAGGUAAGUGGAAUUCCGAGUGUAGAGGUGAAAUUCGUAGAUAUUCGGAAGAACACCAGUGGCGAAGGCGACUUACUGGACACAUAUUGACGCUGAGGUGCGAAAGCGUGGGGAGCAAACAGGG